rnacentral:miRNA from 1 species
GUGGUUAGCGCGCCUGCCUCUAACCCAGAGGAAAUGGGUUCAAGGCUUCGUCGCUGCUAC